UACGAAGGGUGCAAGCGUUUGUCCGGAAUUACUGGGCGUAAAGCGUGCGCAGGCGGUUUUGUAAGUCUGUCGUGAAAUCCUCGGGCUCAACCUGAGAAUUGCGAUGGAGACUGCAAGGCUAGAAUCUGGCAGAGGGGGGUAGAAUUCCACGUGUAGCAGUGAAAUGCGUAGAGAUGUGGAGGAACACCGAUGGCGAAGGCAGCCCCCUGGGUCAAGAUUGACGCUCAUGCACGAAAGCGUGGGGAGCAAACAGG
rnacentral:rRNA from 1 species